GUAGGGAAUAUUGGACAAUGGGCGGAACCCUGAUCCAGCCAUGCCGCGUGGAGGAAGACUGCCCUCUGGGUUGUAAACUCCUUUUAUAUGGGAAGAACCGUCCUCAUUAAUGAGUGACCUGACGGUACCAUAGGAAUAAGCACCGGCUAACUCCGUGCCAGCAGCCGCGGUAAUACGGAGGGUGCAAGCGUUAUCCGGAUUCACUGGGUUUAAAGGGUGCGUAGGCGGAUAAAUAAGUCAGUGGUGAAAUCAACGGGCUCAACCUGUUAACUGCCAUUGAUACUGUGUAUCUUGAAUAUGAGAGAGGUAGGCGGAAUGUUGCAUGUAGCGGUGAAAUGCUUAGAUAUGCUACGGAACACCGAUUGCGAAGGCAGCUUACUAUUUCGUAAUUGACGCUGAGGCACGAAAGCGUGGGUAGCGAACAGGAUUAGAAACCCGUGUAGUCC
rnacentral:rRNA from 1 species